UUGGAGGGCAAGUCUGGUGCCAGCAGCCGCGGUAAUUCCAGCUCCAAUAGCGUAUAUUAAAGUUGUUGCAGUUAAAAAGCUCGUAGUUGAAUUUCAGGCCUGGCUGGACGGUCCGCUUUUCGGGUGAGUACUGUCUGUGGUCGGGUCCUACCUUCUGGCGAAGCGUCAUGGCCUUAACCGGCCGUGGCGGGGAACCAGGACUUUUACUGUGAAAAAAUUAGAGUGUUCAAAGCAGGCUAUUGCCUGAAUACAUUAGCAUGGAAUAAUGAAAUAGGACGGCAUGGUUCUAUUUUGUUGGUUUCUAGGAUCACCGUAAUGAUUAAUAGGGAUAGUUGGGGGCAUUAGUAUUCAAUUGUCAGAGGUGAAAUUCUUGGAUUUAUUGAAGACUAACUUCUGCGAAAGCAUUUGCCAAGGAUGUUUUCAUUAAUCAAGAACGAAAGUUAGGGGAUCGAAGACGAUCAGAUACCGUCGUAGUCUUAACCAUAAACUAUGCCGACUAGGGAUCGGACGAUGUUAAUUUUUUAAUGACUCGUUCGGCGCCUUACGGGAAAC
rnacentral:rRNA from 1 species